CUUGUCUCGGUCUCGAUACACUCUGGUCUUGGUCUUGUCUCGGUCUCGAUACACUUUGGUCUUGGUCUUGUCUCGGUCUCGAUACACUCUGGUCUUGGUCUUGUCUUGCUGUCAAACUCUGAAAGUCUUGGUCUUGUCUUGGUCUCAAACCCUCAAAGUCUCGGUCUUGUCUUGGCCUCAAACCCUCAAAGUCUCGGUCUUGUCUCGAUCUCGAUACACUCUGGUCUUGGUCUUGUCUUGGUCUCAAACCCUCGGUCUUGUCUCGGUCGAUACACUCUGGUCUUGGUCUUGUCUCGGUCUCGAUACACUCUGGUCUUGGUCUUGUCUCGGUCUCGAUACACUUUGGUCUUGGUCUUUUCUUGCUGUCAAACCCACAAAGUCUCGGUCUUGUCUUGGUCUCAAACCCUCAAAGUCUCGGUCUUGCCUUGGUCUCAAACCCUUGGUCUUGUCUCGGUCUCGAUACACUCUGGUCAUGGUCUUGUCUCGCUCUCGAUACACUCUGGUCUUGGUCUUGUCUUGCUGUCAAACUCUGAAAGUCUUGGUCUUGUCUUGGUCUCAAACCCUCAAAGUCUCGGUCUUGUCUUGGCCUCAAACCCUCAAAGUCUCGGUCUUGUCUCGAUCUCGAUACACUCUGGUCUUGGUCUUGUCUUGGUCUCAAACCCUCUGUCUUGUCUCGGUCUCGAUACACUCUGGUCAUGGUCUUGUCUCGGUCUCGAUACACUCUGGUCUUGGUCUUGUCUUGCUGUCAAACUCUGAAAGCCUCGGUCUUGUCUUGGUCUCAAACCCUCAAACCCUCGGUCUUGUCUCGGUCUCGAUACACUCUGGUCUUGGUCUUGUCUUGCUGUCAAACCCUAAAAGUCUUGGUCUUGUAUCGAUCUCGAUAGACUCUGGUCUUGGUGAUGACUUGGUCUUGUUUUAGGUGGUCACGACUACAACACUAUUCCAUAGCUAUAUGUACAAAUGUUUCAUAAAAACAGCCUGUCAUCCACAUAUUUUGAAGCGCAAGAUGAAACAUAUUCUGCUUCUCUAGGUUUAUCUAGAAGGGAAAAAAUGGCAUCAGCACAGAAAGGUCACACACACACACACACACACAUCCAGAACAAAGUCAUCCAUAAUUCACACCAACAUAUGACAGAUGUAAAACAAACAGACUAAAGUUAUCGUUUAUUCAAACGUCCCUCAAGCUUUAUGUUGUGAAGCAACA
rnacentral:lncRNA from 1 species